GGCCUCAAUGCUUGAACCAAAAACCCUAACCCAGCCCAAAUAACCCAACUAAAGAUCCCAAUCCCUUCCCCAUUUUCAUUCAAUCAAUUUUGAACCACAUAAUCGCCGCCUAUAGGACGUCGGGAAAAGACCGGCGAUACCUCUGCCAUCGCCGUAGUUGUCUCCUCCACCCUCUCACGCCUCUUGGAAGCUUCUCACAGUUACAAAUGUCGAAUAGACCUCAAGAAUGAACACAGUGACACUAAUGUUUAGUUUUUUCUGAUGUAAAAAGAGCCUAUAUUGGCUCUGUUGAACAAGCUUUUCAAUGGUGAAGACUCGAGAUUCACUGAUUCGUUGUCUCGGAGAAGGAAGCUGAGAUGAAAAUUAAGAUGGAUUGGAAGUUGUCAGAAGAAAUAGAUAGAACGUUCCAAGAACAAAUUAGAUUAGAAGUGGACAAAGAGAUUAAAAGCGGUGGAUUCUAUAAUGUCGAGAAUUCAACAGGUAACACAUUGGUAUCUAUUUUGACCUUUUGUUAUAACUGCAACUCUUGAGCACAAGUGGCCAAUGGUUAGUUCUCUGUAAUAAAUCUUGAGCUAUCCAACAUCAUCCCCCAGAUGCACUUCUUCAUUGUUUCUCUUCUUGCAUGGAACUAGCUUGUUUUCGUCAAUUUUGGGAAGGAAUUGGAAAACAACUUAUAAAUAGAAUGCAUUUGGUGAA